rnacentral:tRNA from 1 species
AGCUUAGUGGCCGAGAGAGUAGGCGAGAGGGUUUUAACCUCUUUACGGAGAAUCCCUGAGUUA